rnacentral:rRNA from 1 species
AGAUUGAACGCUGGCGGUAUGCUUAACACAUGCAAGUCGAACGGUAACAGGAGAGAGCUUGCUCUCUUGCUGACGAGUGGCGGACGGGUGAGUAACGCGUAAGAAUCUGCCUAGUAGUGGGGGACAACUACCGGAAACGGUAGCUAAUACCGCAUACGCCCUACGGGGGAAAGUGGGGGACCUUCGGGCCUCACGCUAUUAGAUGAGCUUGCGUAGGAUUAGCUAGUUGGUGAGGUAAUGGCUCACCAAGGCAACGAUCCUUAGCUGGUCUGAGAGGACGAUCAGCCACACUGGGACUGAGACACGGCCCAGACUCCUACGGGAGGCAGCAGUGGGGAAUAUUGGACAAUGGGCGCAAGCCUGAUCCAGCAAUACCGCGUGUGUGAAGAAGGCCUGAGGGUUGUAAAGCACUUUCAAUUGUGAAGAAAAGCCUGGGGUUAAUAUCCCCGAGUCUUGACGUUAACUUUAGAAGAAGCACCGGCUAACUCUGUGCCAGCAGCCGCGGUAAUACAGAGGGUGCGAGCGUUAAUCGGAAUUACUGGGCGUAAAGCGUACGUAGGCGGUUUAGUAAGUCAGAUGUGAAAGCCCCGGGCUCAACCUGGGAACUGCAUUUGAAACUGCUGAACUAGAGUGUGGUAGAGGGAAGUGGAAUUCAGGGUGUAGCGGUGAAAUGCGUAGAUAUCCUGAGGAACACCAGUGGCGAAGGCGACUUCCUGGACCAACACUGACGCUGAGGUACGAAAGCGUGGGUAGCAAACAGGAUUAGAUACCCUGGUAGUCCACGCCGUAAACGAUGUCAACUAGUUGUUGGGAGCAUUUUGGCUUUUAGUAACGUAGCUAACGCGAUAAGUUGACCGCCUGGGGAGUACGGCCGCAAGGUUA